rnacentral:rRNA from 1 species
GCACGCCGCGUGAGUGAUGAAGGCCUUCGGGUUGUAAAACUCUGUCAUUCGGGACGAACCGGAGUCUGAGGAAAUGCAGACUCUCUGACGGUACCGGAGGAGGAAGCCCCGGCUAACUACGUGCCAGCAGCCGCGGUAAUACGUAGGGGGCAAGCGUUGUCCGGAUUCACUGGGCGUAAAGCGCGCGCAGGCGGUGAUGUAAGUCUGAGGUGAAAACCCGAAGCUCAACUUCGGGACUGCCUUGGAUACUGCGUCACUUGAGGAUAGGAGAGGCAAGGGGAAUUCCACGUGUAGCGGUGAAAUGCGUAGAGAUGUGGAGGAACACCUGUGGCGAAGGCGCCUUGCUGGCCUAUUUCUGACGCUGAGGCGCGAAAGCGUGGGGAGCAAACAGGAUUAGAUACCCUGGUAGUCCACGCUGUAAACGAUGAGUGCUAGGUGUAGGUGGGCUCAUACCCAUCUGUGCCGAAGCUAACGCAUUAAGCACUCCGCCUGGGGAGUACGGUCGCAAGACUGAAACUCAAAGGA